rnacentral:rRNA from 1 species
AUUGAACGCUGGCGGAAUGCUUUACACAUGCAAGUCGAACGGCAGCACGGACUUCGGUCUGGUGGCGAGUGGCGAACGGGUGAGUGAUACAUCGGAACGUGCCCAGUCGUGGGGGAUAACGUAGCGAAAGCUACGCUAAUACCGCAUACGAUCUAAGGAUGAAAGCGGGGGAUCGCAAGACCUCGCGCGAUUGGAGCGGCCGAUGGCAGAUUAGGUAGUUGGUAGGGUAAAGGCCUACCAAGCCGACGAUCUGUAGCUGGUCUGAGAGGAUGAUCAGCCAAACUGGGACUGGGACACGGCCCAGACUCCUACGGGAGGCAGCAGUGGGGAAUUUUGGACAAUGGGCGCAAGCCUGAUCCAGCCAUUCCGCGUGCAGGAUGAAGGCCUUCGGGUUGUAAACUGCUUUUGUACAGAACGAAAAGGCUCUGGUUAAUACCCGGGGCUCAUGACGGUACUGUAAGAAUAAGCACCGGCUAACUACGUGCCAGCCGCCGCAGUAA